UCCAAAAGACAUAACGGUAGAAUAUUUCUCUAAGCGUUUGCUUUUGAACCAGUAAGUAAAACAGGAACAAGUACACGAAACAUUACGAGAAAUUUUUAAUUAGUGGCACACAGUGCAUUUUUCUUUUUCUGAUGUCAUAUUAAAUAUCCAACCACGAGGUGUAAACAUGAACGCACAAGGA